UCCCUGGAGCACUAGUGGUUAGGCCUCGGCUGUCUCACUGCCCUGGCCCGGGUUCGAUUCUCGGCCAGGGAA
rnacentral:tRNA from 1 species